rnacentral:lncRNA from 1 species
AAUAAAGAAAGGAGUAAAGCAUAUUUCAGCACGAUAAACAUUGCUUGUCAUUAGGUACGAAUCAAUUGGGAAAUUGAUUCUAGGAAAUAGCAUAUUUCAGCACGAAGCUCAACUUAUCAUGGAUCAUAGGUAUCGGGUAUUUGGAUAUUUGGAGAACAAGUUUGAGAGGACAAGGUGAAAUUGCGCGGCCCAUUUGUACAUGCGCGAUGGUCGGCAUUUGUUUCGCAGAAUGACCGACGCACUCCGAUUUCAGUUUUAGCUGUCAAAUACGGGGACGUUUGUGUCACAAUCAGAUGAUAGGUCUUUGUCGGUGUCAAAAUAACUGUCACAAGUCUAAUUCCUUCUAGAUAGGUUAGAACUCUUACGACACAGGUAACAAAGUUCUCUGUCAAAGUCGCAAUUGCUCCGACGAGUCGCAUUUCCUACAACAGUUGUGGCACAUCUUCGCGGAAAACUUUGAUGUUGUUUCUCGGCUGCUUAGGCUUGACAUACUUGAUUGUUGUAUUGAUUGUUCGAAAAAACUAGACUUCCUACACAGCAAAACAAUUUUCAUCUGUACCACAGUGAAUGUUAUCGACGCUCUACGGCUUUGCCACCAAGGGAUCGGAAAAUAAGAGCAGCAUCCGAAGACGCACCUUCUUCAAGAUUACCGGAUCAAACAUAUGGCACCUGAGAAACAACGGAAGGAGUCUUUUUACUAUCGGAAACAAGAUGUUCCCGCUCAGCUCAUUGUCAGCUGUC